rnacentral:lncRNA from 1 species
AAAAGUUUAUUUCUAACUUUUAAUUAAUAAAUUCUUUUAUUGAAUCUAAUGAAAUGUAGUGAGACUUAUUGAUUUAGUAGUAAAAAUUAAAUUUAUACAUGAUGUAAAAAUAUCUUAGUUGUGCACCAUAGACAUUCCCUGUAUAUGCAGUUUGACAUGCAUGAAAUAUAGACAUGAUAAAAAAUGUUGAACUUAUUCUCAAAACGAAGAUACUAUAGACCAAGUCUAGAAAAGAUCAUGUGGAUUCAAGACAAGAUGAGGCCAAA